rnacentral:rRNA from 1 species
CCUACGGGGGGCAGCAGUAGGGAAUAUUGCUCAAUGGGGGAAACCCUGAAGCAGCAACGCCGCGUGGAGGAUGAAGGUCUUCGGAUUGUAAACUCCUUUUGUUAGAGAAGAUCAUGACGGUAUCUAACGAAUAAGCAACGGCUAACACCGUGCCAGCAGCCGCGGUAAUACGGAGGGUGCAAGCGUUACUCGGAAUCACUGGGCGUAAAGGGAGCGUAGGCGGGAUAGUAAGUCAGAUGUGAAAUUCUAUGGCUUAACCAUAGAACUGCAUUUGAAACUGUUAAUCUAGAGUAUGGGAGAGGUAGGUGGAAUUCGUGGUGUAGCGGUGAAAUCCGUAGAGAUCACGAAGAAUACUCAUUGCGAAGGCGGCCUGCUAGAACAUAACUGACGCUGAUGCGCGAAAGCGUGGGGAGCAAACAGGAUUAGAUACCCGUGUAGUC